AUGAGGUGUGGAUAGCGGAGAAAUUCCAAUCGAACCCGGAGAUAGCUGGUUCUCCCCGAAAUAGCUUUAGGGCUAGCGUCGAGGUAAGUUGCGUGAAGGUAGAGCACUGAAUAUGUGAUGGCCCCAUCUCGGGGUACUGAGCAUAAUCAAACUGCGAAUGUCACGCCAACAUGCUCGGCAGUCAGACAGCGGGUGAUAAGGUCCGUUGUCAAGAGGGAAACAGCCCAGACCAUCAGCUAAGGUCCCAAAAUGUAUGCUAAGUGGAAAAGGAUGUGGAGAUGUACAGACAACUAGGAGGUUGGCUCAGAAGCAGCCAUCCUUUAAAGAGUGCGUAACAGCUCACUAGUCGAAUGACUCUGCGCCGAUAAUUUACCGGGGCUAAGCAUACUACCGAAGCUAUGGAUCCCAAGGGAUGGUAGGGGAGCGUUCCAUGAACGGAGAAGUACGACCGAAAGGACGUGUGGAGAUCAUGGAAGAGAGAAUGCCGGUGUGAGUAGCGGAACGUGGGUGAGAAUCCCACGCACCGAAAACCCAAGGUUUCCAGAGGAAGGUUCGUCCGCUCUGGGUAAGUCGGGACCUAAGGCGAGGCCGAAAGGCGUAGUCGAUGGACAACAGGUAGAGAUUCCUGUACCCGUAUAUAUGUGAAGGAAUGACGGAGAGAGGAAGCUGCAGCCAGCGGCUGGAAGAGCUGGUGCAAGCGAGAUAUCGGGAUGGCAGGCAAAUCCACCAUCCGAAACGAGAAGGCGUGAAGCGUACGGAAAGCUACGGCGAGUACGGAAGGCAGUGGAGGAACUUCCAAGAAAAGUUUCUAACGUAAAGUAUAUAUGGCCCGUACCGAAAAUGGACACACAUGGGUGAGGAGAGAAUCCUAAGGUGAGCGAGAGAACUAUAGCUAAGGAACUCUGCAAAAUGACUCCGUAACUUAGGGAGAAGGAGUGCUCAUAGAGAUAUGAGCCGCAGUGAAACGGCCCAAGCGACUGUUUACCAAAAACACAGCUCUCUGCUAAGCCGCAAGGCGAAGUAUAGGGGGUGACGCCUGCCCGGUGCUGGAAGGUUAAGGGGAGGGGUUAACGCAAGUGAAGCCCUGAACUGAAGCCCCAGUAAACGGCGGCCGUAACUAUAACGGUCCUAAGGUAGCGAAAUUCCUUGUCAGGUAAGUUCUGACCCGCACGAAAGGCGUAACGAUUUGGGCGCUGUCUCAGCUGUAGACUCGGUGAAGUCUUAGUACCUGUGAAGAUGCAGGUUACCCGCGACUAGACGGAAAGACCCCAUGGAGCUUCACUGCAGGUUGAUAUUGGGAUUUGAUGCAGCAUGUACAGGAUAGGUAGGAGGCAAAGAGAUGGAUACGCCAGUAUUCAAGGAGCCGCUGUUGGGAUACUACCCCUGUUGUAUUGGAUUUCUAACCGGACGACGUAGAACCGUUGACGGGACAGUGUCAGUCGGGCAGUUUGACUGGGGCGGUCGCCUCCCAAAGAGUAACGGAGGCGCCCAAAGAUACCCUCAGCUUGGAUGGAAACCAAGCGCAGAGUGCAAAGGCAAAAGGGUGUUUGACUGCGAGACCCACAAGUCGAGCAGGGACGAAAGUCGGGCUUAGUGAUCCGGCGGUGCUGAAUGGAAAGGCCGUCGCUCAACGGAUAAAAGCUACCCUGGGGAUAACAGGCUGAUCUCCCCCAA
rnacentral:rRNA from 1 species